GGAGCAGCUUCUGGAGAGACCGUGAUUUACGCGGCGCCGAAGGAUUCACAAUCUCAGGCAAAAGGACAGAAGAGUAACA
rnacentral:ncRNA from 2 species